CACGUAGGCGGAUAUUUAAGUCAGGGGUGAAAUCCCAGAGCUCAACUCUGGAACUGCCUUUGAUACUGGGUAUCUCGAGUAUGGAAGAGGUAAGUGGAAUUCCGAGUGUAGAGGUGAAAUUCGUAGAUAUUCGGAGGAACACCAGUGGCGAAGGCGGCUUACUGGUCCAUUACUGACGCUGAGGUGCGAAAGCGUGGGAGCAAACA
rnacentral:rRNA from 1 species